rnacentral:rRNA from 1 species
AGGACGAACGCUGGCGGCGUGCUUAACACAUGCAAGUCGAACGGAAAGGCCCGCUUGCGGGUACUCGAGUGGCGAACGGGUGAGUAACACGUGGGCAACCUGCCCUCAGCUUCGGGAUAACACUUGGAAACAGGUGCUAAUACCGGAUAAUAACCUUUCAUCGCAUGGUGGUUGGUUCAAAGUUUUUCGGCUGAGGAUGGGCCCGCGGCCUAUCAGCUUGUUGGUGGGGUAAUGGCCUACCAAGGCGACGACGGGUAGCCGGCCUGAGAGGGCGACCGGCCACACUGGGACUGAGACACGGCCCAGACUCCUACGGGAGGCAGCAGUGGGGAAUAUUGCGCAAUGGGCGGAAGCCUGACGCAGCGACGCCGCGUGAGGGAUGACGGCCUUCGGGUUGUAAACCUCUUUCAGCUCUGACGAAGCGCAAGUGACGGUAGGAGCAGAAGAGCACCGGCCAACUACGCGCCAGCAGCCGCGGUAA